rnacentral:rRNA from 1 species
CAAGCGGUGGAGUAUGUGGUUUUAAUUCGAUGCAACGCGAAGAACCUUACCAGGGUUUGACAUCCUGCGAAUCCCUUGGAAACGAGGGAGUGCCUUCGGGAGCGCAGAGACAGGUGGUGCAUGGCUGUCGUCAGCUCGUGUCGUGAGAUGUUGGGUUAAGUCCCGCAACGAGCGCAACCCACGUCUUUAGUUGCCAGCAUUAAGUUGGGCACUCUAGAGAGACCGCCGGUGAUAAACCGGAGGAAGGUGUGGAUGACGUCAAGUCAUCAUGCCCCUUACAUCCUGGGCUACACACGUACUACAAUGCUACGGACAAAGGGCAGCAAACUCGCGAGAGCUAGCAAAUCCCAUAAACCGUGGCUCAGUUCAGAUCGUAGGCUGCAACUCGCCUACGUGAAGGAGGAAUCGCUAGUAAUCGCAGGUCAGCAUACUGCGGUGAAUACGUUCCCGGGCCUUGUACACACCGCCCGUCACACCAUGGAAGUUGGCCAUGCCCGAAGUCGUUACUCCAACCCUUGUGGAGGAGGACGCCGAAGGUGGGGCUGAUGACUGGGGUGAAGUCGUAACAAGGUAACCGUA